UACGUAGGGUGCGAGCGUUGCUCGGAAUCACUGGGCGUAAAGCGCACGUAGUCGGACUCUUAAGUCGGUGGUGAAAUCCUGGAGCUCAACUCCAGAACUGCCUUCGAUACUGAGAGUCUUGAGUUCGGGAGAGGUGAGUGGAACUGCGAGUGUAGAGGUGAAAUUCGUAGAUAUUCGCAAGAACACCAGUGGCGAAGGCGGCUCACUGGCCCGAUACUGACGCUGAGGCACGAAAGCGUGGGGAGCAAACAGG
rnacentral:rRNA from 1 species